AACGUAGGGGGCAAGCGUUGUCCGGAAUUACUGGGCGUAAAGGGCGUGUAGGUGGCUCGUGAAGUCAGGAGUGAAAACCCGGGGCUCAACUCCGGGACUGCUUUUGAAACCAGCGGGCUUGAGUGCAGGAGAGGGAAGUGGAAUUCCCAGUGUAGCGGUGAAAUGCGUAGAUAUUGGGAGGAACACCAGUGGCGAAGGCAGCCCCCUGGGCCAGUACUGACGCUCAUGCACGAAAGCGUGGGGAGCAAACAGG
rnacentral:rRNA from 1 species